AGUGUGUCCUACCUAAGCUUAUUUGUUGGUCAGUCAUAAUAUCGGGAUAUUAUGUGAUAUGUUAAUUUAUUCAAUUAACCCUUGUUUUGAAGCGGUAUUCUAGAAUGAUAUCUGAAAUACAGGAGAUGAGCAAUGGAGAAAUCAUGAGGACAGGAAAGAUGGACUCUGAAAUGAAAGCAAGGUAUUCUCAACUCUUUGAAAUACCAGGUACGUAAAUUUCGGGGACGAAAUUUCAUAAGGAGGGGAGAUUGUAA
rnacentral:lncRNA from 1 species